AGUGAACGCUGGCGGUAGGCCUAACACAUGCAAGUCGAACGGCAGCACAGUAAGAGCUUGCUCCUACGGGUGGCGAGUGGCGGACGGGUGAGGAAUACAUCGGAAUCUACUUUUUCGUGGGGGAUAACGUAGGGAAACUUACGCUAAUACCGCAUACGACCUACGGGUGAAAGCAGGGGAUCUUCGGACCUUGCGCGAUUGAAUGAGCCGAUGUCGGAUUAGCUAGUUGGCGGGGUAAAGGCCCACCAAGGCGACGAUCCGUAGCUGGUCUGUGAGGAUGAUCAGCAAGACUGGAACGGAGACACGGUCCAGACUCCUACGGGAGGCAGCAGUGGGGAAUAUUGGACAAUGGGCGCAAGCCUGAUCCAGCCAUACCGCGUGGGUGAAGAAGGCCUUCGGGUUGUAAAGCCCUUUUGUUGGGAAAGAAAAGCAGCAGGUUAAUACCCCGCUGUUCUGACGGUACCCAAAGAAUAAGCACCGGCUAACUUCGUG
rnacentral:rRNA from 1 species